rnacentral:rRNA from 1 species
ACCAGACUCCUACGGGAGGCAGCAGUGGGGGAUAUUGCACAAUGGGGGGAACCCUGAUGCAGCGACGCCGCGUGGGUGAAGGAGCGUUUCGGCGCGUAAAGCCCUAUCGGCAGGGAAGAAACAGACGGUACCUGACUAGAAGCCCCGGCUAACUACGUGCCAGCAGCCGCGGUAAUACGUAGGGGGCAAGCGUUAUCCGGAUUCACUGGGUGUAAAGGGAGCGUAGACGGCGACGCAAGUCUGGAGUGAAAGCCCGGGGCCCAACCCCGGGACUGCUCUUGGAACUGCGCGGCUGGAGUGCAGGAGGGGUAGGCGGAAUUCCUAGUGUAGCGGUGAAAUGCGUAGAUAUUAGGAGGAACACCAGUGGCGAAGGCGGCCUACUGGACGGUGACUGACGCUGAGGCUCGAAAGCGUGGGGAGCAAACAGGAUUAGAUACCCUAGUACA